GGCCUGCUUGCGCAAUGGUAGCGCGUUUGUUUACAACGCAAAACGUACGAUUCCGUGACUCACAUACCAGUGCAGCUCAGAUACUAAGGUUUCAAUCCAGGUUGUAGGUGCGAAUCCUGCGUAGGUCG